rnacentral:piRNA from 1 species
CUGGAAAACUGGCAUUCGUUCUG